rnacentral:SRP_RNA from 1 species
CGGGUCCUGCGCAAUGAUUCCUGCGAAUCGUGUCAGGACGGGAACGUAGCAGCACUAAGCAGAUUCCUUCAUGUGCCGCAGGGAAGCC